rnacentral:rRNA from 1 species
CAACUUUCAACAACGGAUCUCUUGGCUCUCGCAUCGAUGAAGAACGCAGCGAAUUGCGAUAAGUAAUGUGAAUUGCAGAAUUACGUGAAUCAUCGAAUCUUUGAACGCAUAUUGCACUCCUUCUGGUAAUCCGGAGAGUAUGCCCUGUUUGAGGGCCAGUA